rnacentral:rRNA from 1 species
AGAUGGCGACCGGCGCACGGGUGAGUAACACGUAUCCAACCUGCCGAUAACUCGGGGAUAGCCUUUCGAAAGAAAGAUUAAUACCCGAUGGCGUAAUUAGACCGCAUGGUCUUAUUAUUAAAGAAUUUCGGUUAUCGAUGGGGAUGCGUUCCAUUAGGCAGUUGGUGAGGUAACGGCUCACCAAACCUUCGAUGGAUAGGGGUUCUGAGAGGAAGGUCCCCCACAUUGGAACUGAGACACGGUCCAA